rnacentral:rRNA from 1 species
GCCAGACUCCUACGGGAGGCAGCAGUGGGGAAUAUUGCACAAUGGGGGAAACCCUGAUGCAGCGACGCCGCGUGGGCGAGGAAGUACCUCGGUAUGUAAAGCCCUAUCAGCAGGGAAGAAACAGGACAGUACCUGACUAAGAAGCCCCGGCUAACUACGUGCCAGCAGCCGCGGUAAUACGUAGGGGGCAAGCGUUGUCCGGAAUUACUGGGUGUAAAGGGAGCGCAGGCGGGAAGCCAAGUCAGCUGUGAAAACUACGGGCUUAACUUGUAGACUGCAGUUGAAACUGGUUUUCUUGAGUGAAGUAGAGGUUGGCGGAAUUCCGAGUGUAGCGGUGAAAUGCGUAGAUAUUCGGAGGAACACCGGUGGCGAAGGCGGCCAACUGGGCUUUAACUGACGCUGAGGCUCGAAAGUGUGGGGAGCAAACAGGAUUAGAUACCCUCGUA